GUUGCCCAUCCCUGGCUUCAAGGUACAAUAGGAUUAUGGAGCGUUGGAUUCCCUCGUGGAAUACAUUGCGACUUUUGUGCUUUGCUGGGGAAAGAAGAAGUAUCGACAGCAGAAAGAGGUUGUGACUGAUUUCAUGAACCUACGGGAGAGUGG